rnacentral:rRNA from 1 species
GACGAACGCUGGCGGCGUGCUUAACACAUGCAAGUCGAACGGAAAGGCCCUGCUUUUGUGGGGUGCUCGAGUGGCGAACGGGUGAGUAACACGUGAGUAACCUGCCCUUGACUUUGGGAUAACUUCAGGAAACUGGGGCUAAUACCGGAUAGGAGCUCCUGCUGCAUGGUGGGGGUUGGAAAGUUUCGGCGGUUGGGGAUGGACUCGCGGCUUAUCAGCUUGUUGGUGGGGUAGUGGCUUACCAAGGCUUGGACGGGUAGCCGGCCUGAGAGGGUGACCGGCCACAUUGGAACUGAGAUACGGCCCAGACUCGUACGGGAGGCAGCAGUGGGGAGUAGUGCACAAUGGGCGGAAGCCUGAUGCAGCAACGCCGCGUGCGGGAUGACGGCCUUCGGGUUGUAAACCGCUUUCGCCUGUGACGAAGCGUGAGUGACGGUAAUGGGUAAAGAAGCACCGGCUAACUACGU